rnacentral:misc_RNA from 1 species
AAACUGCGAUAAUUAAUGUGAAUUGCAGAAUUCUGUGAAUCAUCAAGACCUUGAACGCAAACUGCGCCUACGGGUCCACCUGUAGGCACGCUUGUUUGAGUGUCGAUUUAUAUUUCACUAUCCUUCUUUAUUACUCGUAAUGAAGAAGGGAAUUGGAGGUGUGGUUUGCGCAAUAUUCGAACCACUCCUUUUAAGUUUAUCUUUCCAACUUUUUUUGCUUUUCAAAACGAUCAUCUUAGCAAAAGAGGUCCAGCCAGUAGGUACCAAUACGUUGGUUUCUCGAAAACUCACAUCUCUCUUUGUUCUAACUUGACAUACGUUUCGGAGUGAAAGUUUCUUUUAUACCCUUUGCGGUACAAAAGAAGGGUUGGGAAUUAUAAGGAAAGGAUGAACUUUUCUCGUUCAUCACUACAAAACUCACCUAUUCGACCUCAAAUCAAGUGGGAUUACCCGCUGAAUUUAAGC